GUUCUUGUAGUUGAAAAACAACGGCGGUUUUUCAAGUCGCUGGUCUUGGUUAGAGUCCUGGCAGGAACU
rnacentral:tRNA from 1 species